rnacentral:tRNA from 1 species
GCGUUUUUUAUUUCUGUCCCGAAUUAGUUCCAGAUAUAAAUAAGCGACUCGAGCGGUACAAAUUGGAUAAAAAAUAAGA